GCUCUCGUAGCUCACUGGUUUAGAGCGUUCCAUUCGGAAUCCUGGGUCACUCCAGGUGCGAGAGGUCACAGGUUCGAACCCGACUAGAGGC